AGGACGAACGCUGGCGGCGUGCUUAACACAUGCAAGUGGAGCGACGAACCAGGGCUUGCCCUGGGGCAGAGCCGCGAACGGGUGAGUAACACGUGGGUUACCUGCCUCGAUGACCGGGACAACCCGAGGAAAACUCGGGCUAAUACCGGAUGUGCCCGCAAGGGGAAAGGAAGCUUCGGCCUCCGCAUCGAGAUGGGCCCGCGGCCCAUUAGCUUGUUGGUGAGGUAACGGCUCACCAAGGCUUCGAUGGGUAGCUGGUCUGAGAGGACGAUCAGCCACACUGGGACUGAGACACGGCCCAGACUCCUACGGGAGGCAGCAGUGGGGAAUUUUGCGCAAUGGGGGAAACCCUGACGCAGCAACGCCGCGUGGAGGAUGAAAUCCCUUGGGAUGUAAACUCCUUUCGAUCGGGAAGAUAAUGACGGUACCGAGAGAAGAAGCCCCGGCUAACUUCGCGCCAGCAGCCGC
rnacentral:rRNA from 1 species